rnacentral:rRNA from 1 species
GAGUUUGAUCCUGGCUCAGGACGAACGCUGGCGGCGUGCCUAACACAUGCAAGUCGAGCGAUGAAGCUUCCUUCGGGAAGUGGAUUAGCGGCGGACGGGUGAGUAACACGUGGGUAACCUGCCUCAAAGUGGGGAAUAGCCCUCCGAAAGGAGGAUUAAUACCGCAUAAAGUAAGAGUAUCGCAUGGUACUUUUACCAAAGAUUUAUCGCUUUGAGAUGGACCCGCGGCGCAUUAGCUAGUUGGUGAGGUAAUGGCUCACCAAGGCAACGAUGCGUAGCCGACCUGAGAGGGUGAUCGGCCACAUUGGAACUGAGACACGGUCCAGACUCCUACGGGAGGCAGCAGUGGGGAAUAUUGCGCAGUGGGGGAAACCCUGACGCAGCAACGCCGCGUGAGUGAUGAAGGUCUUCGGAUUGUAAAGCUCUGUUUUCUAGGACGAUAAUGACGGUACUAGAGGAGGAAGCCACGGCUAACUACGUGCCAGCAGCCGCGGUAAUACGUAGGUGGCGAGCGUUGUCCGGAUUUACUGGGCGUAAAGGGUGCGUAGGCGGAUUCUUAAGUGGGAUGUGAAAUACCCGGGCUUAACUUGGGUGCUGCAUUCCAAACUGGGAAUCUAGAGUGCAGGAGAGGAAAGUGGAAUUCCUAGUGUAGCGGUGAAAUGCGUAGAGAUUAGGAAGAACACCAGUGGCGAAGGCGACUUUCUGGACUGUAACUGACGCUGAGGCACGAAAGCGUGGGUAGCAAACAGGAUUAGAUACCCUGGUAGUCCACGCCGUAAACGAUGGAUACUAGGUGUAGGAGGUAGUCGACCCCUUCUGUGCCGCAGUUAACGCAAUAAGUAUCCCGCCUGGGGAGUACGGUCGCAAGAUUAAAACUCAAAGGAAUUGACGGGGGCCCGCACAAGCAGCGGAGCAUGUGGUUUAAUUCGAAGCAACGCGAAGAACCUUACCUGGACUUGACAUCCCUUGCAUAACCUAGAGAUAGGCGAAGCCCUUCGGGGCAAGGAGACAGGUGGUGCAUGGUUGUCGUCAGCUCGUGUCGUGAGAUGUUAGGUUAAGUCCUGCAACGAGCGCAACCCUUAUUAUUAGUUGGCUACCAUUAAGUUGAGCACUCUAAUGAGACUGCCUGGGUAACCAGGAGGAAGGUGGGGAUGACGUCAAAUCAUCAUGCCCCUUAUGUCCAGGGCUACACACGUGCUACAAUGACAGGUACAGAGAGACGCAAGACCGUGAGGUGGAGCAAAUCUCAAAAGCCUGUCCCAGUUCGGAUUGUAGGCUGCAACUCGCCUACAUGAAGUUGGAGUUGCUAGUAAUCGCGAAUCAGAAUGUCGCGGUGAAUACGUUCCCGGGCCUUGUACACACCGCCCGUCACACCAUGAGAGCUGGUAACACCCGAAGCCCGUGAGGUAACCUUUUAGGAACCAGCGGUCGAAGGUGGGAUUAGUGAUUGGGGUGAAGUCGUAACAAGGUAGCCGUAGGAGAACCUGCGGCUGGAUCACCUCCUUUCUAAUCCCGCGGCCAUGGCGGCCGGGAGCAUGCGACGUCGGGCCCAAUUCGCCCUAUAGUGAGUCGUAUUACAAUUCACUGGCCGUCGUUU